ACAACAGGGUUCCACCUUCAGGUGUUUGGGGCUCUGCUGAAAGUGUGGGUCCCCGCGGUGGGGGCUGAACCGCCCUGAGGUGUGAGCAGACAAAGGGUUCCAGAUCCAAGCUGAUUCUUUCCCGCGUUGGGAGUCGGUGCCAUGGCUGUCUCGUAGAGGAGAUGACUUUACCAUCAACAACUCAUAGAGCCCACUGGGAUUUGAAGGAGCAUGAAAGCAAAUAUAUAUGUCACAAGUAUAUAUUCGCUGACCUUUCUUUGUAAAGUUUAAUGAUGGUGGUGAGUUGGUGCCAUCUUGUGACAAAAAUCUGAACUGCAGCUUGAACUUCGCGGAGCAGGAAGGUGGGAGGGAGGGGUUGUGGCCCCAAACCAACCAGACAGAACUUUCUGGAAGUCUGCGUGGAAAGGGGACA